UUGUCCUCUUAACCAAAGAGUGUGAAGAUACUGGUAUGGCAUACAGGUGAGAUGUUAGGGUACAUCGUCAUUGAACGUGAUCAAUUCCAGAGCAUUCUGCUAUCGAGAAUGUCUCUGAUGGGAUAUAGAUAUAAGUGUCCCUUAGACCUGAGAUCACCUCAAUGACUUGCAAGCAACUUACCAUGCUUUGGUACUGGACUAACUAAAUUUUUAAUUCCAUGAUGGAAGGCUUCUGGACAUAGUCAAGUACUUACGAAGUCAGAGUGUGAUCGAGAUGGGAUUGACCACUCCA
rnacentral:lncRNA from 1 species